CCUACGGGAGGCAGCAGUGAGGAAUAUUGGUCAAUGGCCGUAAGGCUGAACCAGCCAAGUCGCGUGAAGGAAGAAGGAUCUAUGGUUUGUAAACUUCUUUUAUAGGGGAAUAAAGGUAUCCACGUGUGGAUAUUUGCAUGUACCCUAUGAAUAAGCAUCGGCUAACUCCGUGCCAGCAGCCGCGGUAAUACGGAGGAUGCGAGCGUUAUCCGGAUUUACUGGGUUUAAAGGGUGCGUAGGUUGUUUUUUAAGUCAGCGGUGAAAGUUUGUGGCUCAACCAUAAAAUUGCAGUUGAAACUAGAAGACUUGAGUGUGUUUGAGGUAGGCGGAAUGCGUGGUGUAGCGGUGAAAUGCAUAGAUAUCACGCAGAACUCCGAUUGCGAAGGCAGCUUACUAAGCCAUAACUGACACUGAAGCACGAAAGCGUGGGGAUCAAACAGGAUUAGAUACCCCAGUAGUC
rnacentral:rRNA from 1 species